rfam:Triticum aestivum genome assembly, contig: Triticum_aestivum_CS42_TGACv1_scaffold_306236_4AS
CAUGUACUCCCUCUGUUCCGAAUUACUUGUCGCAAGUAUGAAUGUAUCUAGAUGUAUUUUAGUUCUAGAUACAUCCAUUUAUGCGACAAGUAAUUUGAAACGGAGAGAGUAUGAG